rnacentral:rRNA from 1 species
UACGGAGGGGGCCAGCGUUGUUCGGAAUCAUUGGGCGUAAAGGGCGCGUAGGCGGCCGAUCAAGUCGGAGGUGAAAUCCCUCGGCUCAACUGAGGAACUGCCUCCGAUACUGUUCGGCUUGAGUCCUGGAGAGGGUAGUGGAAUUCCCGGUGUAGCGGUGAAAUGCGUAGAGACUGGGAAGAACACCAGUGGCGAAGGCUGCUACCUGGACAGGUACUGACGCUGAAGCGCGAAAGCUAGGGGAGCAAACAGG